rnacentral:rRNA from 1 species
CAGUCGCCGCGGUAAUACGAGGGGGGCAAGCGUUGUUCGGAAUUAUUGGGCGUAAAGGGCGCGUAGGCGGUUUGGCAAGUUUGGUGUGAAAUCUUCGGGCUCAACUCGAAGUCUGCACCGAAAACUGCCGGGCUUGAGUAUGGGAGAGGUGAGUGGAAUUUCCGGUGUAGCGGUGAAAUGCGUAGAUAUCGGAAGGAACACCUGUGGCGAAAGCGGCUCACUGGACCAUUACUGACGCUGAGGCGCGAAAGCUAGGGGAGCAAACAGGAUUAGAUACCCCCGUAGUCCCUGUCUCUUAUAC